AUGCAGUCCUGGCCGAGUACUUUUCCAGUGAAAAAAUGUUAAUUUGUUCCAUGCCAUCACCAUUUUUUCAUGUACCUAUGUUCAAAGUCAACUUUCACUGAUCACCCCAGAGAGAGAGAAUUUGUAUAUACACUGCAUUAAAUCAUGUUUGGUAGCAACCUGUGAACCGUGCUGAUAAAAGAAGAAUUGACCUAAACGACUCAACCUCAAUCUAAUGAGAUCAAAAAACAUCAGCAAUAUUAAACCUCACUCUUCUCCCUGGAGGGAUUGUGUUUUUGCAGAAGGCCAAAGAACACAUGGGCAGGAAACAGCUCUUAGGAUGUUGCUCAUUGCCUGUGACCAAGAUCACCCCAUUUAGCCUGAAGAGUUGACCUGGCUCAGACGAUGAGAUUACAAAGCUCAGUUUUGUUUUUCCAUGCAGUACGUAAGACAAUUUUCUUCCUGGACUGCAGGAAGUUUCUAGCCAUGACACUU